CUCCAGGUGACGAGUCCCAAACAGAACGAAACGCGAGUCCUGGAU
rnacentral:hammerhead_ribozyme from 1 species